rnacentral:rRNA from 1 species
UAAUACGGAGGGGGCUAGCGUUGUUCGGAAUUACUGGGCGUAAAGCGUACGUAGGCGGCUUUGUAAGUUAGAGGUGAAAGCCCGGAGCUCAACUCCGGAAUUGCCUUUAAGACUGCAUCGCUUGAAUCAUGGAGAGGUGAGUGGUAUUCCGAGUGUAGAGGUGAAAUUCGUAGAUAUUCGGAAGAACACCAGUGGCGAAGGCGACUCACUGGACAUGUAUUGACGCUGAGGUACGAAAGCGUGGGGAGCAAACAGGAUUAGAUACCCUGGUAGUCCACGCCGUAAACGAUGAUAACUAGCUGUCGGGGCUCUUAGAGUUUCGGUGGCGCAGUUAACGCGUUAAGUUAUCCGCCUGGGGAGUACGGCCGCAAGGUU